rnacentral:lncRNA from 1 species
GUAGGUGUAUAAAUGGGAUUGUGACCGCAGGCACUGGCACUUCUGAUGCUGUCUGCAAACACGCCUCGAAAGAGGUGAAAGAAGCUCCCACAAAAGAGGGGAAUGAAGCUCCUACGAAAGAGGUGAAAGAAGCUCCCACAAAAGAGGGGAAUGAAGCUCCUACGAAAGAGGUUAAAGAAGCUCCCACGAAAGAGGUGAAAGAACCCCCUAAAGCCCACAUUACCCCAUUCCAGGCAACCACAAUCUCUUCUACGACCACUUCAAGAAUUACAGACUCUUCUAACAACAUACAAAAAAACAGCCUCUACAGUUUGUGGCUGGUCAUGCUAUGCGCUGCUAUUUUUCUGCUGGCUGGACUCCUGUACCACAAGUGUAAAGUCACCCACUGUAUUCAUAACCACAAGAAAGUGGAUUUUCGAAAAGGUGGAGUACCCUUAGUUUAUCAUACGACCACGUGUGUGUGUGUGUGGCUACACUAUAUUCAUCCUUCUUACAUUUAUUUUCUCUAGAAAGUGUAUGCAGAAAGCCUGUUGAAGAAUCUGGGGAAAAGUGCCAGUCUUUGCUUGUCUAACGCUGUUGUUAAUGGCCUCAGUGUUUCUUUUUGUGGAAUAUUUUGUAUGCAUGCAAUAUUGGUUGUUUUAUAACUAGUUUAAUUGCUGUUAACUUCAUUAAAUCUCCACUUAAUAACACCACUUAAAGGGAUAGUUCUGGCAUCAUUUACUUACCCUCAAGUUGUUUCAACCCUGUAUGAGUUUCUUUCUUCUGUUCAACACAAAAGAAGAUAUUUUGAAGAAGAAUGUCGGUAAUCAAACAUUUGAUGGUAGCCAAUGACUUUUUUCUUUUUGUACUAUGGAAGUCAAUGGCUACCGUCAACUCAAAAUAUUGUCUUUUGUGCUCAACAGAAGAAAGAAAAUCAUACAGGUUUGGAAAAUCUCGAGGGUGAGUAAAUGAUGACAGAAUUUUUAUUUUUGGGUGAACUAUCCCUUUAAAAAAAAAUACAG